GAACAUGUUAAUGUUCAGACUUUUUCGCAAACUUGAACUCAACAAAAAAUUAACGAACCGAGCUCCUAUGAACCCAAAACGAGCCGAACACCGAGCAGUGCACGCUCAAAGGCCCUACUUAAAUCUUCCGAAUGCCCUCCAGUAGGGUCUUUUCGAGAUCGAGAUCGAGAGAGAGAGAGACCUGAGUUUCUUCUUCUUUUCCCCGUUUCUUCUGUAUCUAUUUGGAGAUUGGGUCGAUUAGAAGCGAUAUUUGGGUUGGUUUCGACGUUUCGUUGUGGUUUAGCGUGUGGGUUUUCGAAUUUGAGGAGGUUUUGGAGAGGGGAGUGUCGAGUGAGGUGAAGGAAGAUGGUGUUCGGUCAAGUGGUAAUUGGACCACCAGGCUCCGGGAAGACCACUUAUUGCAACGGCAUGUCUCAGUUCCUCCAACUUAUUGGAAGGAAGGUAGCUGUAAUCAACUUGGAUCCUGCAAAUGAUUCAUUGCCGUACGAAUGCGCUAUUAAUAUUGAGGAUCUUAUUAAACUCAGUGAUGUUAUGAAUGAGCAUUCGCUUGGUCCUAAUGGAGGUCUUGUGUAUUGUAUGGAUUACUUAGAGAAAAACAUUGACUGGUUGGAGUCCAAAUUGAAGCCUCUUCUCAAAGAUCAUUAUCUCCUCUUUGACUUCCCUGGCCAGGUAGAAUUAUUUUUCCUCCAUGCAAAUGCCAAGAAUGUCAUCGAGAAACUUAUAAAGAAGUUGAACCUUAGGCUGACGGCUGUGCAUUUAGUUGAUGCACACCUUUGCAGUGAUCCAGGAAAGUAUGUGAGUGCAUUGAUUCUGUCUCUAUCGACAAUGUUGCAUCUGGAGCUUCCCCACAUCAACGUUUUGUCUAAAAUUGAUCUCAUUGAGAACUAUGGAAAACUAGCUUUUAAUCUCGAUUUCUACACGGACGUGGAAGAUUUAUCGUACUUACAACAUGAUCUUGAUCAGGACCCCCGGUCUGCUAAAUAUAGAAAAAUGACGAAGGAGCUGUGUGAAGUAAUAGAAAAUUAUGGUCUGGUCAACUUUACAACCUUGGAUAUUCAGGAUAAAGAAAGCGUCGGGAAUCUCGUGAAGCUCAUUGACAAGAGCAAUGGGUAUAUAUUUGCCGGCAUAGAAGGGAGUGUGGUUGAGUUCAGCAAAAUCGCUGCUGCUCCGGUUGACUGGGAUUAUUUCAGAACAGCAGCAGUACAAGAGAAGUACAUGAAGGACGAUGAAAUUGAUUUCGACGACUGAUGUUGGGGUAGACGCUGUUUACAGUAAAGGCUGAGGUUUCACUAAAUCCCAUCACAGUGAUUCUCAUCAUCACAUGUACAGCAAGGUGAGGGUCCGAAGUCUGAUAGAGUUUCGGAGAACGGAAUGCCAAAAGCAGGAUCUCUGUGUCAAGAGUUGCCGUUAGGCAUGGCUAUCAGUUAAAAACGAGAAAACUAAUUGUCUUUUGUAAUUUGGCUAAAGGGUUGUAAGUGAUGGCUGAAAACCUUGUUUCUUGUCUGCCAUCUUACAUAUUCUGCUGCUCAUGUUUUCUUGUCCAUCUACAAAUGGAUUGCUGAAUGUUUCUCGCUGCAAGGCAAAAUCCCAGCCAAAUUACAUCUUCGCUAAAUCUUUGCCAAACUGUAGUACUUGUAUCAAGUUUGUAGGUGAUGCAAUUUAGAGGCAGUUCUUGUUUUUUAAACCCCACUAUUUAUUUGACAUGGAUGCCACUUAGAUUUUAAUUA